CUGCCGUCUAUUAAGCCGACCAGCUCUUCUGCAGUGUGGUUCUGGUGUGCAAAGGCUGCAGACAGUGACUCUUUGGUUGUGUAUGUUCUCAGCCGUGUGGUGCUGAGUGCUUUAAGGGACCACUGAGACACAA